rnacentral:tRNA from 3 species
GUGGGUGUAGUUCAGUUGGUUAGAGCACCAGAUUGUGGAUCUGGGUGUCGUGGGUUCGAGUCCCAUCUCCCACCCCA